GCUCAACCGAGGAAGUGCUUCGAAAACUGGUAAACUUGAGUGCAGAAGAGGAAAGUGGAACUCCAUGUGUAGCGGUGGAAUGCGUAGAUAUAUGGAAGAACACCAGUGGCGAAGGCGGCUUUCUGGUCUGUAACUGACGCUGAGAUUCGAAAGCAUGGGUAGCAAACAGGAUUAGAUACCCUGGUAGUCCAUGCCGUAAACGAUGAGUACUAAGUGUUGGAGGGUUUCCGCCCUUCAGUGCUGCAGCUAACGCAUUAAGCACUCCGCCUGGGGAGUACGACCGCAAGGUUGAAACUCAAAGGAAUUGACGGGGGCCCGCACAAGCGGUGGAGCAUGUGGUUUAAUUCGAAGCAACGCGAAGAACCUUACCAGGUCUUGACAUACCAUGAAAAGCUUAGAGAUAAGUCUUUCCCUUCGGGGACAUGGAUACAGGUGGUGCAUGGUUGUCGUCAGCUCGUGUCGUGAGAUGUUGGGUUAAGUCCCGCAACGAGCGCAACCCUUAUUAUCAGUUGCCAGCAUUCAGUUGGGCACUCUGGUGAGACUGCCGGUGACAAACCGGAGGAAGGUGGGGACGACGUCAAAUCAUCAUGCCCCUUAUGACCUGGGCUACACACGUGCUACAAUGGUCGGUACAACG
rnacentral:rRNA from 1 species